GACGAACGCUGGCGGCGUGCUUAACACAUGCAAGUCGAACGGUGAAGCGCCUUCCUUUUUGGUGGGUGUGGAUGAGUGGCGAACGGGUGAGUAACACGUGAGUAACCUGCCCCCUUCUUCUGGAUAACCGCAUGAAAGUGUGGCUAAUACGGGAUAUUCUGGGUCUGUCGCAUGAUGGGUCUGGGAAAGAUUGUUUCGGUGGGGGAUGGGCUCGCGGCCUAUCAGCUUGUUGGUGGGGUGAUGGCCUACCAAGGCGGUGACGGGUAGCCGGCCUGAGAGGGUGGACGGUCACACUGGGACUGAGACACGGCCCAGACUCCUACGGGAGGCAGCAGUGGGGAAUAGUGCACAAUGGGCGCAAGCCUGAUGCAGCGACGCCGCGUGAGGGAUGGAGGCCUUCGGGUUGUGAACCUCUUUCGCCAGUGAAGCAGGCCUGCCUCGUUUGUGGGUGGGUUGACGGUAGCUGGAUAAGAAGCGCCGGCUAACUACGUG
rnacentral:rRNA from 1 species